AGCAGUCGCCGCGGGAAUACGUAGGCGGCAAGCGUUGUCCGGAAUUAUUGGGCGUAAAGCGCGCGCAGGCGGCCUAUCCAGUCUGUCUUAAAAGUUCGGGGCUCAACCCCGUGAUGGGACGGAAACUAGUAGGCUAGAGUAUCGGAGAGGAAAGCGGAAUUCCUAGUGUAGCGGUGAAAUGCAUAGAUAUUAGGAAGAACACCAGUGGCGAAGGCGACUUUCUGGACUGCAACUGACGCUGAGGCUCGAAAGCCAGGGGAGCGAACGGGAUUAGAUACCCCUGUAGUCCCUGUCUCUUAUACC
rnacentral:rRNA from 1 species